GGUAGGGCAAGGAGUCCCUGCUGUUCCGGUGAUUAACUAUGUGCGCACCGAGAUCAAGAAAGCAGCUGAUGAGAGCCAGUCUAUUCUCGAGAACACACCGGUUGGAAAAGGCAAUGAUGAUGGUUCACUACGAGCAUUCCUCAAGCGUCAGGCCAAGAAGUUAAGGCGGUUAUCGAAUCUUCUCGGUUGCCGUGAUCCCGAAUUUGAUGAACCAUCUGCCUCUAGGUCUGGUACACCAUCAGACCCCUCAUCUCACCAUCAGGGGGACGAUGUGAGUUCCUCAUAUGCUUAUCUGGAUGAUAAUGGCGUGGUCACCCAAGAGGUAUGACUAAUCCUUUAGAUGUGAUUCUCACUUGAUUACGACGCCGGUCUUCACCAUAUUGUUUGAUUGUGUGAUAGGGCCAUGAGCUUGAUGAUGACAUGACUUUGGCGGACGCUCAACUUCGGUCCCCAUAUGUGUUCAAGCC